UCGUUUCUACAAAGCAAAGUAAAACACACACGCAGUCUGCUCACAAAGGCAAGGGUUAUUAUAGAGAUGUGGGGUGAAGAGGUAGGAGUGUAUGAGCUGUAAGAGGCUUUUCUAGUCGGACUUAUGGAGAAUCUCACAUCUCCCUAAAGGCCAGGUGCUACGGGUCUAACAAAGCAGUUUUAUUAACCAGAUCUAUCCAGUGGAAUUACCAGGAGCCUAUUACCGCACCAGCUUCGUUAUGAACUAAUGGAACUGUUCACAGCUUGGUUGAUAAUCACAUCUGAGAUAGAACUACAGACAGUCAGAUACGGAGGAGCUGAGCGACUAAGCAGUAAUUAUGCACUCACACUUUUGUAAGUGGAUGACACCCAACUGGAUGCUGUUCGGUAAGACAAUGGAAGCAAAGUCUGGCAACAUCGGUAAAAAAAGGCUUCUUAUUGAGCCUUGAAUACAGGUAUUGAAUUUUGAUCAUUUUUGCCGUUAAUCGUGGUGGCGAAGACAACAUGGGUACACAUUUUGUAGUUUAGCGGUAAACAUUAUGUUAUCAAUCUACAGCUUACUGUGCAACAAAUUACACCAAUGAACACAAGAUAAUCAAGUAUCAUUUGUGGUCCACUCAGCAGAAAAGACAGCGGGAGAAAGAGGCUCUAUUCUCCCUCUGGAGCUGGAAAGCAGAAACAAAAUGUUCCAGAGCCUGUGGAGCAGAGAGCCUAUAGUGGCUUGGCAAAGUGUUUGCUGCCUCCACCACCAGUAACUGAGGACCCUUGAGAAUUGUCAUUGAAAGCUGAACACCAAACCAUCCUAAGUAUGUGUACAUA